rnacentral:tRNA from 1 species
UUCCUGGUGGUCCAGUGGCCAAGACUCUGCACUCCCACUGCAGGGGACCCAGGUUUGAUCCCUGGUUGGGGAA